UAGGACUGGACAACAAGGUUCCAAAAUGGCCAAUCUACAGGUACCAUGGGUUAUAGGUCUGGAUGGUAAUUUACACUCAGGUGUUUUCAUCUUUGCUCCUGCCAAGAAGCAAAGACAGCAAACAAGAAGCAAAGCAAACCAACUGGGAAAGAGUCCUGCCUUCCUUGAUGGAACAUAAAGACGAAAGGUAAAAUGAAGAUGGUUCUUCCUUUCCUCAAAGCUCCCAAGGAGAGAGAAAAUGUUUCUGCUGUUGUUUGGUUGCUUAGAGUUUGAGUUGCCCAGGGCUUUUCUGGGCUCUGCCCAUUAUCUUGAUUGACUGAUUGACCAAUUGACUAUUUCAUAACUGAAUCUUGGGAACCUUUUCUCCCCAUUCAAUAUAAUAUCAUUACAUGAGAAU